rnacentral:rRNA from 1 species
AUCGAACGCUGGCGGCAGGCCUAACACAUGCAAGUCGAACGAGUGGCGGACGGGUGAGUAAUGUCUGGGCAACUGCCCGAUGGAGGGGGAUAACUACUGGAAACGGUAGCUAAUACCGCAUACCCUCGGAUGUGCCCAGAUGGGAUUAGCUAGUGGGUGGGGUAACGGCUCACCUAGGCGACGAUCCCUAGCUGGUCUGAGAGGAUGACCGGCAAAAUUGGAACUGGGACACGGUCCAGACUCCAAGGGGAGGCACAAGAGGGGAAUAUUGGCAAAGGGGCGAAAUCUGGAUGCAGCCAUGCGGCGGGUAUAAAAAGGGCUUUCGGGUUGUAAAGUACGUUCAGCGAGGAGGCGGUACUCGCAGAAGAAGCACCGGCUAACUCCGUGCCAGCAGCCGCGGUAAUAC